rnacentral:sRNA from 1 species
AAAAGAUACUGAUUUCUUUAUUUUCCUUGUUCUCUGAAUGUAGAGAUAACUAAUAACUUACAAAGUUUAUAUUGGUGUUUCUCUGGGUCUUUUGCGUUGAAAUCUUUCCUCUGACUCUUGCUGCCUUUCCCAAGUAUGUCUUUAAAGACUGACAUUAGAGAAGCUUGUAUUUUUGCUGAGUAGUCUUGGACCAGAUUUUGACAUACUCUAAAAACUUUUAAAAGUUCCAGCCACCAAGUUAAACACGAUGAGCAAAACCAGCCUUGGCCAGAGCAUGAGCAAGUAUGACCUCCUGGUUUGGUUUGAGAUCAGUGAACUGGAGCCUACAGGAGAGUAUAUCCCAGCUGUGGUUGACCAUACAGCAGGCUUGCCUUGCCAGGGGACAUUUUUGCUUCAUCAGGGCAUCCAGCGAAGGAUCACAGUGACCAUUAUCCAUGAGAAGGGGAGCGAGCUCCAUUGGAAAGAUGUUCGUGAACUGGUGGUAGGUCGUAUUCGGAAUAAGCCUGAGGUGGAUGAAGCUGCAGUUGAUGCCAUCCUCUCCCUAAAUAUUAUUUCUGCCAAGUACCUGAAGUCUUCCCACAACUCUAGCAGGACCUUCUACCGCUUUGAGGCUGUGUGGGAUAGCUCUCUGCAUAACUCCCUUCUUCUGAACCGAGUGACACCCUAUGGAGAAAAGAUCUACAUGACCUUGUCAGCCUACCUAGAGCUGGAUCAUUGCAUCCAGCCGGCUGUCAUCACCAAGGAUGUGUGCAUGGUCUUCUACUCCCGAGAUGCCAAGAUCUCACCACCACGCUCUCUGCGUAGCCUCUUUGGCAGUGGCUACUCAAAGUCACCAGAUU